rnacentral:rRNA from 1 species
UACGGGGGGAGCAAGCGUUGUUCGGAUUUACUGGGCGUAAAGGGCGCGUAGGCGGUCGUGACAAGUCACUUGUGAAAUCUCCGGGCUUAACUCGGAACGGUCAAGUGAUACUGUCGGACUAGAGUACAGAAGGGGCAACUGGAAUUCUCGGUGUAGCGGUGAAAUGCGUAGAUAUCGAGAGGAACACCGGUGGCGAAAGCGGCUCACUGGGUAUUUUCUGACGCUGAUGCACGAAAGCUAGGGGAGCAAACGGG